rnacentral:rRNA from 1 species
GGCUCAGAACGAACGCUGGCGGCGUGCUUAACACAAGCAAGUCGAACGCAAAGGGACUUCGGUCCUGAGUAAAGUGGCGCACGGGUGAGUAACGCGUAGAUAACCUGUCUUCAUGUCUGGAAUAAUACGCCGAAAGGGGUACUAAUACCGGAUAUUCUUGCUUUUCAUAAGUUAUGCAAGCAAAGGUGGCCUCUGCAUAUGCUACUGCAUGAAGAGGGGUCUGCGUACCAUUAGCUAGUAGGUGGGGUAAUGGCCUACCUAGGCGACGAUGGUUAGCGGGUCUGAGAGGAUGAUCCGCCACACUGGCACUGGAACACGGGCCAGACUCCUACGGGAGGCAGCAGUGAGGAAUAUUGCGCAAUGGGGGAAACCCUGACGCAGCGACGCCGCGUGAGUUGAGGAAGGCCUUCGGGUCGUAAAGCUCUGUCAAGAGGAAAGAAGUGUACAAUGGCUAAUACCUGUUGUAUUUGACGGUACCUCUAAAGGAAGCACCGGCUAACUCCGUGCCAGCCGCCGC